rnacentral:rRNA from 1 species
GUAGGGAAUAUUGCACAAUGGAGGAAACUCUGAUGCAGCGACGCCGCGUGAGUGAUGAAGGCCUUAGGGUUGUAAAGCUCUUUUGUCCGGGAAGAUAAUGACUGUACCGGAAGAAUAAGCCCCGGCUAACUUCGUGCCAGCAGCCGCGGUAAUACGAAGGGGGCUAGCGUUGUUCGGAAUCACUGGGCGUAAAGCGCACGUAGGCGGACCAUUAAGUCAGGGGUGAAAGCCUGGAGCUCAACUCCAGAACUGCCUUUGAUACUGAUGGUCUCGAGUAUGGAAGAGGUUGGUGGAACUGCGAGUGUAGAGGUGAAAUUCGUAGAUAUUCGCAAGAACACCGGUGGCGAAGGCGGCCAACUGGUCCAUUACUGACGCUGAGGUGCGAAAGCGUGGGGAGCAAACAGGAUUAGAAACCCCAGUAGUCC